rnacentral:rRNA from 1 species
CUACGGGGGGCAGCAGUGAGGAAUAUUGCCCAAUGGGGGGAACCCUGAUGCUGCAACGCCGCGUGGAGGAUGACGCAUUUCGGUGUGUAAACUCCUUUUAUAUGUCAAGAAAAUGACGGUAGCAUAUGAAUAAGCACCGGCUAACUCCGUGCCAGCAGCCGCGGUAAUACGGAGGGUGCAAGCGUUACUCGGAAUCACUGGGCGUAAAGGACGCGUAGGCGGGCUUGUAAGUCAGGUGUGAAAUCCUACAGCUUAACUGUAGAACUGCACUUGAAACUACGAGCCUAGAGUAUGGGAGGGGGAGAUGGAAUUAGUGGUGUAGGGGUAAAAUCCGUAGAUAUCACUAGGAAUACCUAAAGCGAAGGCGAUCUCCUGGAACAUAACUGACGCUAAGGCGUGAAAGCGUGGGGAGCAAACAGGAUUAGAUACCCUUGUAGUC